rnacentral:rRNA from 1 species
CAGUAGCCACGGUAACACGUAGGGUGCAAGCGUUAAUCGGAAUUACUGGGCGUAAAGCGUGCGCAGGCGGUUAUAUAAGACAGUCGUGAAAUCCCCGGGCUCAACCUGGGAACUGCGAUUGUGACUGUAUGGCUAGAGUGUGUCAGAGGGGGGUAGAAUUCCACGUGUAGCAGUGAAAUGCGUAGAUAUGUGGAGGAAUACCGAUGGCGAAGGCAGCCCCCUGGGAUAACACUGACGCUCAUGCACGAAAGCGUGGGGAGCAAACAGGAUUAGAUACCCCAGUAGUCCCUGUCUCUUAUAC